CCUCUAUUUAAAUCUAAACUUUACAUCAGG
rnacentral:piRNA from 1 species